rnacentral:lncRNA from 10 species
AUUUUAGGAUGAGGGAACAAACCCUGAAGGUGUGAACAAGCUCGGUGCAUCUAGACAUGUAAGGAAGGUUCCAGCAUGUGAAGGAGCGAGGACGGAGAAGGGUCCGGUGAGGUCUUACAGCAACAGAGGGUCCAGCCACAUGAGGCUGAGCAGCCAAGUGAUCUGCCUAGGCCAGCUCCCCUUCAUCUUCUGCCAUGAGUGGAAGCAGCCUGAGGCCCUCACCAGAAGCAGAUGUUGGCACUAUGCUUCUUAGACAGCCUGCAAAACUGUGAGCCAAAGAAUUCCCUUUUCUUUAUAAAUGACCCAGCCUCAGCUGGGAAAGCGGAAAUCUGGAGAACUAAAAUAUCUUGCUGAAGAUCACAAUGCAGUAAAGCAUAGGGCAAGUUUCCAACUCGAACAUCACCCCAGAACACUUCCUUUUAAACAUAAAUUAUGUUGCUAACUUUUUUAUUGUUACUUAGCAGGCAGAUUUCAAACUGAUACAAAUGUUGAAAAUGAUACAAAAUGUUUUCCCACCUUAAAGGCAUUCUGAAACCUAGCACAUAACAUCUGUCACUGAAGUCCAUAGUUUCCAAUGCCAUGAUUGGAUAAAGACCCUAUUGAGACUCAUGUGUUUGUCUCUCACUGCUUAAAACACUCAUGUGUUUUAAGCAACAUGACAAGCACAAAAGAGAACAAGUACUGCUCCUGCUCUCCAGGAAGUUACCAUAAAAUAAAGGGGAUAAGGUGCCUUCCAAAGAAAAAACAAAUACUAGGAGAGGUCAGAGGAGAAGAGAGAUUAUUCCAGAAGGAGAGACUGAGGCAGAUUUCAGGAGGGAAGAAUAUAAGAGUCCCAAAAGAAGAAACAGGAACCCAGGUUAGAGAGCAAUGGGCAAGGGGUAGGAGGUGAGACUAAACUCACAAGGAAGUUGCUUCAAAACAAUAGUGCCCCAAAUGCCAAGCUGAUGGGUUGGACCCAUUUAGGAAAAACCCACAAAGUCCACAGGAGAGCAGACUGCACUUCCAUGAGCUUCAAGCUGUAAACAGUAACCUCAAAUAAAACUUUUCCCGGAUCGGUAAUUUCCAUCCUGAACAAUGGCCAAGUCAAGGAAGCUGAGGAUCGAGCCCCCUACCGCAUGCCACAAAGAACCUCAAGGGACCCCAUGCUCUGGGGAGCUCGCAGGAGGACCAGCACAGAGGUGUGACUGCGUUGGGGCAGGGUGGCCACAUGUACAAUGUUGUACCUUCCAAUGUUCCUCCUUAGGCUGUGCUUAUGAAGUCCCAACAUGUCUUCUGGGCUGUGUUUUCAACCAAGAGAGUUAAUAAAAAGUGGGAUGGGCACCAACUAUGCCUCCAGAGACAUCAGGCAGAAUAUGCCACAGCGUGCCAUGUCCUCCUGCAAACAGUCAGAAAGAAAAGAUCUCUAAAAGCAGAUUGGAAGAGACUAUAUAUACAGAGCGAGUGCCGGUACAGAAGUUUUGCUGCAAAUACACCCUCUAAUCCCUUGCAACCCACUGCAAGCUCGAGAGACCAGUGCCCUUGGUAAAACAUAGGAGAGAUCAUUAAUUAAAGCCUAGGCCCUUUCUUUGAUCCUGAGGGAUAAGGCUUGGGAAAAUGCACAGUGAUAAAAGUGAACAUUUUAAAAGAGCAGAGUGAGUGUGAAUUCCCAAAGAGACCAUUCAUAUCAAGACCCAAGCCAUGAGAAAAUGCUACAAUGCCCUUGAUCAAUACUUUAUAGGCAUUUUGACCUCAGAUCUAAUCCCAUGAGGCUUAGACCAAGACCUUGCUUGAUGCAGACCUCUCUGACUGCUGAAAUUGGUCAGGAGCUCAGUGAUGAAAAUUUGGAAAGUCAAUGCUGAUACCUGAAGAAAGUCCCAUCAGAGAUCUGUGACCUGAAUCUUCAUAACUUUCACAGGCCCUUUCUAAAUGCCAAGGAGGAUGUGUGUGGAGAAGAAUAUGCCACCUAUGGCAUCCCAAUAUGCCUGUGCCCGCCUGCUCUUCAACAAGGGAAUGAAACCUGGGUAUUCUCAUAGGUUUUUUAAAGCACUUGUCCACAUAUUUUAUUCCGCAAAUAACACAAUUUAAAAUUCAGCUAGAAUUUGCCAUUUUCUGUCAGGGUUGUGCAUUUCUUCCAGUCACCAUGACUUCCUGAGAUAGCCAAAACACAAAAUUUAAAUUGUGUUUAAAUUAAAUAAACACAAUUUAUGCUGAA